GAAUAUAAAACUGUAGAAAUACACUAAAAUACCAGCUUGAUAAACUCAUCAGGGAAACCCAAUUUCUCCAUCAUUUUACAGAUGAAAUUCCACUCAACUCUAUCAUACGCUUUUGCCAUGUCUAGCUUCAAAGCAAACCUUGGAACUUUUUUUUCCCCUUCUACAUUUCGCCAUGGUGGUUUUCUUAAAGGAUGAACUAAAUUAAUCUUG
rnacentral:lncRNA from 1 species